UCCACCAAAUUGUAGGGAAAAGGCGAAGCGUUAGAAAAAUAUCCUUUUCAGUGAAAACAAAAUAUCUUGUUGUACUAGACAAAACAGUAUCUUCAGCCAAAGUUUCCUUCUGAAACUAAACCAAAAAUUCUUUAUGGGUAAAAGCCACAAGAAAACACAGAAGUUUGAGUAAUUCCAGUACAUAGAGCUUCGUCACUAAGGCAUGUGAGAUUUCAUAACCAAUUCCCCCACAAUAAGCCCAAAUCUUUAAGUUUUUGGAGCCAGAAAUUCACUGGAGUGAGUUGCUGUAUGAGAGAAGCAGAGAUAAGUCAAGGAAGAAAGAAGAAUUACUAUGAGUUUCUAGGAAUAACUAUCAAUUCAAGUCCUCAUCCAUAUAUUGCAGGAAACUCCAAAAGAUUUAUCAUCCAGAUAUUGCAGACCAAAAGGGUCAUGAUUACACCCUAGUACUGAAUGAAGCAUACAAGGUUUUGAUGAGAGAGGAUCUUAGAAGAGAGUAUGAUGUUUCCAUUGGCCAAAUUAGAGUUGGAAAUGGGAAAGUGUAAGGCCCGUAAAAUUUUGCAAAGGAAUUUAAGGUUUUGUGGUGUCGGAGUAGGCUUACGUGUUUGAGGAUAGUAGAUAUUUUUGCGGCGAGCAAGCUCGCCGUGGCUCGGACUUUUUGGGUUAACAAUGCACUGGGAAGUAAAGGAACAUUUUUGGCAGAAGAAGUUAUUUAUACGGCCUACUAUGCGGUUGCAUAAUCACUCUCACUGGCCGCAGAGUGAAGCAGAGGCGGGGCAGCUUGGAGGAAGGUCUGCGGUGCAUUAUGCGACCACAAACCAGUUCUGCGGGCCGCAUAACUACCGCAGACCCAGGCAGGCGAUAUCAGAUUUAGGCACCAAAUUGUGCAUCCAAUAUGCGGACCGCAUAUCCAUUCUGCGGUCGCAUAUGCGACCGCAUAUCGUGUUCCGGAGCUUUAUUUUUGAGUUUUUAUAACCCGACCCUACUUCGCUAAAUAGACGAUAUGUACUAGUUUUUGACCAAAAACCUGAUAUUUUGAGGGUGAGAGAGUACCCUAGAGUGGAAGGGAGUUCUUCAUCAAUUUGUUCUUCACUUCUUGCUCAAAUCAUGGAAGAUUAACAAGGAAACUCACUAGGUCUUCAUCCUAGAGCAUUUCAUACUCAGGUGUUCAUGGUGUCGUUGACCCUCGUCUAUAAAGCAAAGACUUAUUUUCGGCGGCUGUUCCUCUCUGGAUUAAACUUGGAUGUCUCAUACCCAGUACUAGUUUUUGAGUUUGUAAUACUAUCAUCUUUUACCCCUAAAACAAGGUUUUCUGAGGUGACUCUUUCUGAUUUCUUUGAAACGCAUUGUUAGGCUUUUCAAGCAUGUUUAUCAAAAGAAGAUCAUAGAUAGAUUUGUGCCUUCGUACCUACUGUAUAUGUCCCAUAUUCUUUGUUUUGCACUUCUGGAAAAUGGUGACUAAUUUUGUGGCCCUUUA